AAAAGCGAAAAACUUUCACAAAAACUUCUGGCAUGGGACCUCAUUCACGAAGUAUUCAUUGAUAUUUUAUUAGAAAAUUGAACACCCCACAUACAAAAUCAUCCAGCAUCCAUCCCUGUCAGUGGCCCAUCCAGCAUCCAUCACCGUCAGUGGCCCUCUGGUUUUUCAAAAGCACGCAGUGAACUGUUAUCGUUAACAAUUCUAUGCGAAAAGAAAGCAGGUAUAUUUUGAAAGUUGUGCGGCAUCGUAUGCUUAAUUGACCCGUUUACAAGUGGCAGUGUGGCAGAUCAACAACAAUCACCGGAACGAAAAAGUUUUAAAAAAAAAUUCGCCAC